UGGGGAAUAUUGGACAAUGGGGGCAACCCUGAUCCAGCCAUGCCGUGUGUGUGAAGAAGGCCUUUUGGUUGUAAAGCACUUUAAGCAGUGAAGAAGACUCCAUGGUUAAUACCCAUGGACGAUGACAUUAGCUGCAGAAUAAGCACCGGCUAACUCUGUGCCAGCAGCCGCGGUAAUACAGAGGGUGCAAGCGUUAAUCGGAAUUACUGGGCGUAAAGCGAGCGUAGGUGGCUUGAUAAGUCAGAUGUGAAAGCCCCGGGCUUAACCUGGGAACGGCAUCUGAUACUGUUAGGCUAGAGUAGGUGAGAGGAAGGUAGAAUUCCAGGUGUAGCGGUGAAAUGCGUAGAGAUCUGGAGGAAUACCGAUGGCGAAGGCAGCCUUCUGGCAUCAUACUGACACUGAGGUUCGAAAGCGUGGGUAGCAAACA
rnacentral:rRNA from 1 species